CCAUCCAUUUGUCAAAUAUAUUGGCUCUCUUAAUAUUUUUCACAUUUUGAAAGGAAACAAAGCUGACUUGGGUGCUAAGCCAAACCUACAGACUAUCCAGGUUUAAAUUGACUGAAGGAAUGAAUACUCAACCCAGGAAAGUGCUUUGGCCAACAUGUUUAAUACAUUUCUCUCGUCUUGCCCUUCCUCUGCAUCUAGGACAAUGAACACAAAGAAUGCCAAACAGUAAAAUAACACACGAUUAAAACGCUGUUAACAUUUGCAGCUAGUGGCUGUUGUCGGGUUGCCACUCGAGUCUUUGCCACCUUGAACCUGUGGACGUGAUCUGACUGAGAAGUUCUCACCAAUUUAAAAGAAACAGAUUCCACAAGAAUCGUGGCGAGGGUU